AAAAAAAAAUCCGUCCUUUGCCAAAUCUAAGAACGCUGCCAACUCGGGAGAAAAAGGAUCCAUUUUUCUACAUAACCACAUUUAAUAAUUUCCAUGAAAUUGACAUUUUAGAAUAAUGGCAGAACGCCAAACUAAAAAUUAUGGAUUCCUAAUCCCUAAAUUCUGAGCUAAUUUUCUUAAGAAAUAUCUAAAAUACACUUUAAAACGAACCCAAUUAAUAUAAUUACAGAGGUCUUAAAUAACACAUACAAACUGGAUCUGUUUCUGUAAAACACAGCUGUUCUGUUAUUUAUAUUUUGCUAUUACUUAAAAUUAGAAAUGUGGCCAUAUAUAUUAAGUAACUUUUUGAAAAGAGUGAAUCUGUUGUCUUCUGCAUCAUUAAAUUUUUAAAAAGCCCCUACGACCAAUUAGCUUGGAAAUCUUAUAUCCAUGCCUCCUCUGAAUAUUGCUGUGGUCUUAACAAGGAAAGCAGCACAUUCAGGUAUUCAAUGUAACAGAAACAAGGCACAGGCAGCAACUUGUAUCCCUUGGCAGUUGACAUGCUAAUUUCUUUGCCUUCUCUCUUUUGCUCACUCCACCCCGCUUCACCAACCCCCUUCCCCCCAAGAAACGAAGCACCCUUCGGGCGGUGGACGGUGCCUUGCGGCGAGUGGAGACGCCGGAAGAGCGCGGGCAGAGCGCGCAGUGCCCACACCCUUGACCGCCGGAAGGAGGAGAGUGGCUCAAGGAGACUUGAUUUUUUGGAUUGGCUGCAGUUCUUUAAACCAAGCCAGGCUUUCGGGGCGUUAAAGUAA
rnacentral:lncRNA from 1 species